GUAACGGUUAAAUCCAAAUAGCCUGACUAAGUAUGUAGAACUGCUUGUAGAGAGCUUACGGACGCGGGUUCGAUUCCCGCCGCCUCCACCA
rnacentral:tmRNA from 1 species